rnacentral:rRNA from 1 species
CCUACGGGAGGCAGCAGUGGGGGAUAUUGCACAAUGGGGGCAACCCUGAUGCAGCGACGCCGCGUGGGCGAAGAAGUAUUUCGGUAUGUAAAGCCCUAUCAGCAGGGAAGAAGAAAUGACGGUACAUGAGUAAGAAGCACCAGCUAAAUACGUGCCAGCAGCCGCGGUAAUACGUAUGGUGCAAGCGUUAUCCGGAUUUACUGGGUGUAAAGGGAGCGCAGGCGGCGCGGCAAAGCUGAUGUGAAAGCCCCUGGCCCAACCGGGGGACUGCAUUUGGAACUACCGGGCUGGAGUGCCGGAGAGGUAGGCGGAAUUCCUAGUGUAGCGGUGAAAUGCGUAGAUAUUAGGAGGAACACCAGUGGCGAAGGCGGCCUCCUGGACGGUGACUGACGCUGAGGCUCGAAAGCGUGGGGAGCAAACAGGAUUAGAUACCCUAGUAGUC